rnacentral:misc_RNA from 1 species
AAAGAUAUAGCAUAUUCUUCUGAAUAUACCUUAUUAACCCAUUCCGAGUACCUUACCCGUUGCUUCCGCGAGGCUGUCCUCACGGCCCUCUGAAGAUUUAUCUUUGGGGAGUCCUUGCGGAAGGUAUACAAUAAACUCUUGCAUUACCAUGUCAUCUGUCUGAAUCUGUUUGAAAACGAAUAUUA